GGCGGCUGUAGAGGCUGUGCGCCACAUACAUCUGCAGAACUUCUCACGCUCUCUGCUUGAGACCCUCAAUGGGCAGAAGCUGGGUGGGCACUUCUGCGACGUGACUGUGUGCAUUCAUGAAGCUUCGCUGCGUGCGCACCGCUGCGGGCUGGCAAUCGGCUCGCCCUCCUUCCAAGACAAGCUGCUGCUCGGCCCCUCUGAGAUCCGUGUGCCUUCGGUGGUGCCUGUGCAGACGGUGCGACAGCUAGUCGAGCUCCUGUACAGCGGUUCGCUCGUUGUGGCACAGAGUGAAGCCCCGCAGGUACUCAUGGCUGCGUCGGUGCUUCGCAUAGACAGUUAUCGACGAAUGCACGCAGAUUAUCGCACGCGCUCCUCUGCACCCGCGAGCACCUCUGCACCCGCGCCCCUGCCCACCCCUGUGCCCCCGCCACUCGCACCUGAGCAGCUGCGUCACCGCCUGCGCCACCUGCUGGCUGCGCACCCCCGGGGCACCCCGGUGCCGCGCACAGCGGUAAGCAGCGCCGGCCCGCGAGUUUGCAGCUGCCUGCGCCCCCGACACCUGCCAAAGCCGAGGGGCUUGGUGCCUACCCCUCACUGUCCGCGGCCCCUGACGACCGAGGUGACAACGAUGACGAGGAAACUGACGAUGAGACCGAUGGCGAGGACGGCGAAGGUGGCGGCCCGGGAGAGAGCCAAGCACCUCCUUCCUUCCCAGACUGUGCUGCCGGCUUCCUCACUGCUGCUGCUGACAGCGCGUGCGAGGAGUUCCAUGCACCCACUGGCCUCUCUGACUACAGUGGUGUGGGAGAGAUUUUCUUCCGGGAUCUGGGGCAGCUGAGGACGUAUUUCCAGACAGCUAUGUAACCGCUUGGCACGACAAGGAUGGCGCUGUCCCCGAAGGCUGUCCCACCGAGACCCCUGUCCAGCCCGACUGCAUACUGGCUGGACCCCGCCCGCCUGGCGUGAAGACCCCAGGGCCGCCUGUCGCACUCUUCCCCUUUCACUUGGGUGCUCCCGAACCACCCGCACCACCCCCUUCAGCACCAUCCGUGCCAGCCCCUGCGCCCCCACCCGCCUUCUACCCCACACUCCAGCCCGAGGCAGCCCCCGGCACUCAGCUGCGGGAGGCCCCGGCUCCCUCUGCUGCUCCCACCACGGCCCCCUCAGGCACCACUGCUCGCACUCCUGGUGCCGAGCCACUUGCCUAUGCGUGCGGCCACUGUUGCAAGACGUUCAGCUCAAGGAAAAACGACACCAAGCACAUGUUCAUCCACUCGGGGGAGAAGCCGCACCAGUGCGCCGUGUGAUGGCGAUCCUUCUCGCUGCGCUACUGCCGUUUCAAGCACAUGGUCACGCACACCUGCGCGCACGCCUUCCAGUGCGCGGUCUACGCCAAGCCCUUCCCGCAGAAGAGUUCGCUCAAUAUGCACAUGCGCACUCAGCGGCCAGAGCGCGC
rnacentral:lncRNA from 1 species